AGUCGAACGGCAGCACGGACUUCGGUCUGGUAUGGAGUAGUGAACGGGUGAGUAAUGUAUCGGAAACGCCUAGUAGUGGGGAUAACUACGCGAAAGCGUAGCUAAUACCGCAUACGCCUUCGGGGGAAAGCGGGGACUUUCGUCUGCACUAUUAGAGCAUGUAUUAUCGGAUUACUAGUUGGUGGGGUAACGCCCAUCACUAAGGCGACGAUCCAGCGGCUACAGAGAUGUGGACGACCAGCCACACCGGGACUGAGACAUGGCCCAGACUCCUACGGAUGCGCAGUGGGAAUUUUGGACAAUGGGGAAACUCCGAUCCAGCCAUCCUGGCGUGUGGUGAUGAAGGCCUGCCAAAGCACCUUUUACAGGAAAGAAACGGCACGGGAUAAUACCUGCAACUGACGGUACCUGCAGAAUAAGCACCGGCUAAAUCUCGCUGCGCCAGCAGCCGCGGUAAUACGUAGGGUGCAAGCAAGCGUUAAUUCGGAAUUACUGGGCGUAAAGCGUGCAGUAAGUGUUCGGAAAGAAAAGAUGUGAAAUCAGAGCUUAACUUUGGAACUGCAUUUUUAACUACUGAGCUAGAGUGUCAGAGGGAGGUGGAAUUCCGCGUAGUAGUGAAAUGCGUGAUAUGCGGAGGAACACCGAUGGCUAAGAAGGCCUCCAGAUAAUACUGACGUCUAUGACGAAAGCGUGGGGAGCAAACAGGAUUAGAUACUCCCGGUAGUCCACGCCCUAAACGAUGUCAACUAGCUGUUGGGGCCUCGCCUGGUAGCGCAGCUAACGCGUGAAGUUGACCGCCUGGGGAGAGUACGGUCGCAAGAUUAAAACUCAAAGGAAUUGACGGGGACCCGCACAAGCGGUGGAUGAUGUGGAUUAAUUCGAUGCAACGCGAAAACCUUACCUACCCUUGACAUGUCUGGAAUCCCGAAGAGAUUUGGGAGUGCUCGCACAGAACUGAACACAGGUGCUGCAUGGCUGUCGUCAGCUCGUGUCGUGAGAUGUUGGGUUAAGUCCCAACGAGCGCAACCCUUGUCAUUAGUUGCUACGAAAGGGCACUCUAAUGAGACUGCCGGUGACAAACCGAGGAAGGUGGGGAUGACGUCAAGUCCUCAUGGCCCUUAUGGGUAGGGCUUCACACGUCAUACAAUGGUCGGGACAGAGGGUCGCUAACCCGCGAGGGGGAGCCAAUCUCAGAAACCCGAUCGUGUCCGGAUCGCAGUCUGCAACUCGACCUGCAGGAAGUCGAAUCGCAGACCAGGAUCAGCAUGUCGCGGGUGAAUAUGUUCGGGUCUUGCAAGACACCGCCCGUCACACCAUGGGAGUGGGUUUUACCAGAAGUAAAGUAGCCUAACCGUAAGGAGGCGAUUACCACGGCAGGAUUCAUGACUGGGGUGAAGUCGUAACAAGGUAACCCUGUUACUACCUG
rnacentral:rRNA from 1 species